GAUGAACGCUGGCGGCGUGCCUAAUACAUGCAAGUCGAGCGAACAGACGAGGAGCUUGCUCCUCUGACGUUAGCGGCGGACGGGUGAGUAACACGUGGAUAACCUACCUAUAAGACUGGGAUAACUUCGGGAAACCGGAGCUAAUACCGGAUAAUAUAUUGAACCGCAUGGUUCAAUAGUGAAAGACGGUUUUGCUGUCACUUAUAGAUGGAUCCGCGCCGCAUUAGCUAGUUGGUAAGGUAACGGCUUACCAAGGCAACGAUGCGUAGCCGACGGGAGAGGGGGAUCGGCCACACUGGAACUGAGACACGGUCCAGACUCCUACGGGAGGCAGCAGUAGGGAAUGUGCCGCAAUGGGCGAAAGCCUGACGGAGCAACGCCGCGUGAGUGAUGAAGGUCUUCGGAGCGUAAAACUCGGUUAUUAGGGAAGAACAAAUGUGUAAGUAACUAUGCACGUCUUGACGGUACCUAAUCAGAAAGCCACGGCUAACUACGUG
rnacentral:rRNA from 1 species